GCAAAAAGCAACACGAAAUAUUGAGAUAGGAUGGAUACAUACUGAUGGAAAAAUAACCAAACAGGGUCCUGAGACAGAUUUUGAGUUUGAGGUUUGGGACUUUAAACAGAACCACCUUACUGAUGACACCUGCCUGACGAUUGGCAAUAUGUAUGAAGCAGCGAGGCUGACAAUGUUACGCUUCUA